rnacentral:lncRNA from 1 species
GAUCUUGGCUGCAUGUGAUGUAAAACUGCUGCGACUUCUAAAAUCAUUGCUGAGUCUUUAAGAGAACAAGAUACUUAUUGAAUCCAAAAGGCCACUCUGUCUCAGCACUCUGGCCUGCGGGGUUGAAGAGAGGCAGGUGUUUGGGAAGGGGAUGUUGGGGAAGGAGGUGUUGGGGAAGGGGGAAGGAGGUGUUGGGAAGGAGGUGUUGGGGAAGGAGGUGUUGAGAAGGAGGUGUUUGGGAAGGAGGUGUCUGGGAAGCCUGAUCAGGUAUCACAUCUCCCUUGGGAAUCUUGCCUUCUUGCAGUGAGUAUUUGCAACUGUAUGUCCCUUAACAAAGAAGGACUUGUGUGGACCACAUCCUCACAGAACACAGCAUGUAUUACUUGAAGGACUGACCCAAUCUGUGUCUGUGGUGUUUGGGACAAUAGCUGAGAUAAUAAGGCCUUCCAAUUCCCCCAGGUUCUCCAAUCAUGCCACAUGACCCUCUUAACAUCUCUGAUACAAUAACCAGAGAGGGGAUAGUCAUCCCCAUUGUUAAGAUGCAGAUGCAGAAAUUC